UACGAAGGGGGCUAGCGUUGCUCGGAAUCACUGGGCGUAAAGCGCACGUAGGCGGAUUGUUAAGUCGGGGGUGAAAUCCUGGAGCUCAACUCCAGAACUGCCUUCGAUACUGGCGAUCUUGAGUCCGGGAGAGGUGAGUGGAACUCCGAGUGUAGAGGUGAAAUGCGCAGAUAUCAGGAAGAACACCCGUGGCGAAGGCGGCUCUCUGGGACGGUACUGACGCUGAGACGCGAAAGCGUGGGGAGCGAACAGG
rnacentral:rRNA from 1 species